rnacentral:rRNA from 1 species
UGAGGAAUAUUGGUCAAUGGGGCGCAGGCCUGAACCAGCCAAGUCGCGUGAGGGAAGACGGUCCUACGGAUUGUAAACCUCUUUUGUCGGGGAGUAACAUGCGGGACGGGUCCCGUAUUGAGAGUACCCGAAGAAAAAGCAUCGGCUAACUCCGUGCCAGCAGCCGCGGUAAUACGGAGGAUGCGAGCGUUAUCCGGGAUUUAUUGGGUUUAAAGGGUGCGCAGGCGGCGCGCCAAGUCAGCGGUCAAAGUUCCGGGCUCAACCCGGUGUCGCCGUUGAAACUGGAGGGCUUGAGUAUGUUUGGGGCAGGCGGAAUGUGUGGUGUAGCGGUGAAAUGCAUAGAUAUCACGCAGAACUCCGAUCGCGAAGGCAGCUUGCCAAGCCAUAACUGACACUGAAGCACGAAAGUGUGGGUAUCAAACAGGAUUAGAUACCCUGGUAGU